AUACGUAGGGGGCGAGCGUUGUCCGGAAUUACUGGGCGUAAAGGGCGCGUAGGCGGCGCUUCAAGUCGUCUGUCAAAUGGGAGGGCUUAACCCUUUUUCGCAGACGAAACUGGAGAGCUUGAGAAGCAGAGAGGCAAACAGAAUUCCUGGUGUAGCGGUGAAAUGCGUAGAUAUCAGGAAGAAUACCAGUGGCGAAGGCGGUUUGCUGGCUGCAUACUGACGCUGAAGCGCGAAAGCCAGGGGAGCAAACGGGAUUAGAUACCCCGGUAGUCCUGGCAGUAAACGAUGUAUGCUGGGUGUGAGACUAGCGAUAGUUUCGUGCCGAAGUUAACGCGAUAAGCAUACCGCCUGGGGAGUACGGUCGCAAGAUCGAAACUCAAAGGAAUUGACGGG
rnacentral:rRNA from 1 species